UCCAGCUCCAAUAGCGUAUAUUAAAGUUGUUGCAGUUAAAAAGCUCGUAGUUGGAUUUGUGGUGUACUUUGGCGGCCUGUCACAAUGUGAUGGAGCUUGCUGAAGUCGCCAUCCUUGGGGUGGAUCCUGUGUGGCAUUAAGUUGUCGUGCAGGGGAUGCCAUCGUUUACUGUGAAAAAAUUAGAGUGUUCAAAGCAGGCU
rnacentral:rRNA from 1 species